rnacentral:rRNA from 1 species
GACGAACGCUGGCGGCGUGCUUAACACAUGCAAGUCGAACGGAAAGGCCCUGCUUUUGUGGGGUGCUCGAGUGGCGAACGGGUGAGUAACACGUGAGUAACCUGCCCUUGACUUUGGGAUAACUUCAGGAAACUGGGGCUAAUACCGGAUAGGAGCUCCUGCUGCAUGGUGGGGGUUGGAAAGUUUCGGCGGUUGGGGAUGGACUCGCGGCUUAUCAGCUUGUUGGUGGGGUAGUGGCUUACCAAGGCUUUGACGGGUAGCCGGCCUGAGAGGGUGACCGGCCACAUUGGGACUACGAUACGGCCCAGACUCCUACGGGAGGCAGCAGUGGGGAAUAUUGCACAAUGAGCGGAAGCCUGAUGCAGCAACGCCGCGUGCGGGAUGACGGCCUUCGGGUUGUCAACCGCUUUCGCCUGUGACGAAGCGUGAGUGACGGUACUGGGUAAAGAAGCACCGGCUAACUACGUG